GAGUUCAUUUGAGAAGCAUCUAUCCUUCUAUGAUGCCAUCCUUAUUACCGAUAUUCCUUGCACUGGCUGCCUCCUCGUGUGCCUUGUCACAGGUGGUUCUAACCCAGCCGAAGGAAGCAGUGCUGAAAAGACCUGGAGAAUCACAUCAACUGACCUGCGCUACCUCUGGGUUCGAUCUUGGCAGCUACGGGAUGUACUGGGUCCGGCAGAAGCCCAGAAAAGGAUUGGAAUGGCUUGUUUACUACUACGACCCAAGCAGCAAUUAUUAUUCCUCAGCUAUUCAAGGGAGAUUCACAGCCUCAAAAUCUGGCUCCAGUUUCUACCUGCAAAUGAACAACCUGAAUGCAGAGGACACGGCUGUGUAUUAUUGUGCAAGAGACGCACAGUGCAAGGGAUUCUAG